rnacentral:rRNA from 1 species
CGAGGGUGCAAGCGUUAAUCGGAAUUACUGGGCGUAAAGCGAGUGUAGGCGGUUACUUAAGUCGGAUGUGAAAUCCCCGGGCUCAACCUGGGAAUUGCAUUCGAUACUGGGCAGCUAGAGUUUGGUAGAGGUAAGUGGAAUUCCGGGUGUAGCGGUGAAAUGCGUAGAUAUCCGGAGGAACAUCAGUGGCGAAGGCGGCUUACUGGACCAAAACUGACGCUGAGGCUCGAAAGCGUGGGGAGCAAACAGGAUUAGAUACCCGAGUAGUCC